rnacentral:rRNA from 1 species
AUUGAACGCUGGCGGCAGGCUUAACACAUGCAAGUCGAACGAGUGGCGGACGGGUGAGUAAUGCUUGUGAAUCUGGCUUAUGGAGGGGGAUAACGACGGGAAACUGUCGCUAAUACAGCGUCCCAUAGGAUGAGCCCAAGUGGGAUUAGGUAGUUGGUAGGGUAAUGGCCUACCAAGCCGACGAUCUCUAGCUGGUCUGAUAGAAUGACCAGCCACACCGGGACUGAGACACGGCCAGGAAACCUACGGGAGGCAGCAGUGGAGAAGAUUGCGCAAUGGGGGCAACCUGAAGCAGCCAUGCAGAGUGAAUGAAGAAGGCCUUUGGGUUGUAAAGUUCUUUCGGUGACGAGGCGUUAAUCACAGAAGAAGCACCGGAUAACUCCGUGCCAGCAGCCGCGGUAAUUC